rnacentral:lncRNA from 1 species
CCUGUUAAAGCAAAGAGAGGAAAUAGCCGAACAGAUGCUUCAGGUGGCGGAAUUACGGGACGAAGCAUCUAGCCAUGAUCAGUCCGAAGGACGAAGUGGGCAUAAGGAGGAGUCGCGACGAAAGGGUAAGGAGCCGAAGCGUUCCAUGCGUGUUUCUAGGGAUCAUUCUCGAAGUAGGAGGAGAUCGAGGAGCAGAACUCCCGUGGCCUCGAAGAAGGCAAUAAUGACCGUUACCUCUCAGCAUCGAGAUUAUUAUCGACAAAGGAGCAGGUCGAGGGAGGUCGUACCCGAAGUCAGGGUAAUGGACUAUCAACGUGAUCAUUCUCACCAUAAGGAAAGAGUUGUGUACCGAAG